rnacentral:rRNA from 1 species
GACGAACGCUGGCGGCGUGCCUAAUACAUGCAAGUUGAGCGCUGAAGGUUGGUACUUGUACCAACUGGAUGAGCAGCGAACGGGUGAGUAACGCGUGGGGAAUCUGCCUUUGAGCGGGGGACAACAUUUGGAAACGAAUGCUAAUACCGCAUAAAAACUUUAAACACAAGUUUUAAGUUUGAAAGAUGCAAUUGCAUCACUCAAAGAUGAUCCCGCGUUGUAUUAGCUAGUUGGUGAGGUAAAGGCUCACCAAAGCGAAGAUACAUAGCCGACCUGAGAGGGUGAGCGGCCCCAUUGGGCAUGAGACACGGCCCAAACUCCUACGGGAGGCAGCAGUAGGGAAUCUUCGGCAAUGGACGAAAGUCUGACCGAGCAACGCCGCGUGAGUGAAGAAGGUUUUCGGAUCGUAAAACUCUGUUGGUAGAGAAGAACGUUGGUGAGAGUGGAAAGCUCAUCAAGUGACGGUAACUACCCAGAAAGGGACGGCUAACUACGUG